rnacentral:rRNA from 1 species
CUGUACCACAAACAGACACAUGUAGACGAGAUGAAUAUUCUCAGGCGCUCGGGUGACGGAUUGUUCAGGAACUAGGCAAAUUAACCCCGUAACUUCGGGAGAAGGGGUGCUCGCAAGAGCCGCAGUGAAUAGCUUCAGGCGACUGUUUAACAAAAACACAGGUCUCUGCAAAGUCAAAAAUACGACGUAUAGGGGCUGACGCCUGCCCGGUGCCGGAAGGUUAAAAGGAGGGGUUAGCGCAAGCGAAGCUCUGAAUUGAAGCCCCGGUGAACGGCGGCCGUAACUAUAACGGUCCUAAGGUAGCAAAAUUCCUUGUCGGGUAAGUUCCGACCUGCACGAAUGGCGUGACGAUCUGAAGACUGUCUUAACAAUCUGCCCGGCGAAUUUGUGGUUCCGGUGAAGACGCCGGAUGCCCGCCACAAGACGGAAAGACCCCGUGCACCUUUACCGCACUUUAUCAGUGAAUUAUGGUGCGAUCUGCGCAGGAUAGGUGGGAGGCUUUGAUCUGGGACUCUUGGGUUCCAGGGAGCCAACGGUGAGAUACCACCCUGAUCGUUCUGUGAUUCUAACCUCCUUCCCUUAUCGGGUUGAGGGACACUGAUAGACGGGUAGUUUGACUGGGGCGGUCGCCUCCUAAAGUGUAACGGAGGCGCGCGAAGCUAAGUUCAGGAGGUUUGGAAAUCCUCCUUCGAGUGCAAAGGCAUAAACUUGGUUAACUGCAAGACCAACAAGUCAAGCAGAUGCGAAAGCAGGCCUUAGUGAUCCGGUGGUUCUGUAUGGAAGGGCCAUCGCUCAACGGAUAAAAGGUACGCCGGGGAUAACAGGCUGAUCGGAGCCAAGAGUUCGCAUCGACGCUCCGGUUUGGCACCUCGAUGUCGGUUCAUCGCAUCCUGGGGGUGUAGAAGCUCCCAAGGGUUAGGCUGUUCGCCUAUUAAAGCGGUACGUGAACUGGGUUCAGAACGUCGCGAGACAGUUCGGUCCCUAUCUGUGGUGGGCGUAGGAGAUUUGAGUGGGCUUGGCCGUAGUACGAGAGGACCCGGCUGAACAGACCUCUUGUGAUCCUGUUGUCACACCAGUGGCACCGCAGGGUAGCGAAGUCUGGUUGGGAUAAACGCUGAAUGCAUAUAAGUGCGAAACCCGCCACAAGAUGAGAUCUCCCAAGCGAAAGCUAAGAAGGGCCGUGGAAGACUACCACGUUGAUAGGAUGGGUGUGUAAGCGUAGAAAUACGUUGAGCUGACCAUUACUAAUAGCCCGUUCGGCUUGACCAU